rnacentral:lncRNA from 1 species
CCAGCUUUGUUUUUUUUUUAUAAAAUAGUUCUCAGAUCUCUGCCGUUGCUUUUUGAUCCGACGUCCGAUAUUUCUUCACCACUUCCCUCGCCUGCGUUAAAGCCUCUCAAAACCCUAGGUGAAUAUGUAUGACGAUCGACGGACGGAAUCAGCCAACCGAAUUGGGUAAAUCCACAAGAAUGAUGUGAUCCGCACACACCCGCUAUUCGUUUGCAUUGCUCGCAGGUAAGAACAGGUCCGAAUGAGUUUAGGGAGCCACAGUGGUUGUAAUCUGGCGGUGGUAUGACGGGGUGUAGAUCGAUCUCAUGCAGUAACAUUUCAACAGAAUCCGUUGCUCUCAAGUUGUCGCGUGGCUCUGGUGGUUUAGGGUUUUCAGGACCGCUACAACUAUGACCAUAAUUCUGGUGAUCUCAGCAGCUCCCUGCUUUGUAUUUUGGCGAUCUAUCGGAAACUCGAUGCUGUUGCCAUGACUCCGGAAGCAGCAACACCGGUGUUUGUUACUCUCUCAAUGAGGAUGUAUCAGAGAUUGAGGUUUGAAUUGCUACCCAAGAUGGCUUAUUGUUACGGCUAACAUGUUUCUCAUCAUUCAUGUAAUUGGUGGCUAUCAGUUGUAGCAAAAUGGACGGGUUAGGUAAUGUGUUUAGACCAAGGUGCCAUCCGUAAUAAAGUGGUGUGAAGGUCUCUCUUUCUUCCAAAUCGUAUUCGGCGAUACAAGUUCACACUAUGCUUUGCACAUGACUUGGACAAGCAAACUGUUUAGUAGUUGGGAGUGUUUGGAUGGAGGCAAACUGCAAAUUUAUCAUCUGAAAUAGUUAUGUCGAAUGAAAUGAAGUGUAAAAAAUGUUAUUGAUUACACAAUAAUAUAUCGAAAUCUUUUGGAUUCAG